rnacentral:lncRNA from 10 species
AAUUUCUUUCCUAUGUUGGAGUGCAAGAGAGCCCCUAAGGCUGGAGCACUCCCCAAGUAAGCAGGCAGAGACAGAGACCUGAGUCCUACUGCUGAGUCAUUUAAAUCUGCUUUAGAUCGGGUUUUCCCAGGGCAUGGAAAGGACAGGGCUCCCAGUGGAGAUAUCAUGUAGCUAUAGGGCCUAGAAGUAUUUUUUCAGUAGAUGAAAUUUAGAAAUAAUUUGAAUAUUUUAUGCUGGGGAGGUAGCUUGUGGAGUGAAAUGGUCGGGUAAAGGAAACACUGAGUUCAAGUGCUUCUUUAUAAAGGACACUUAACUGAUCUAAAUAUUUGUCAAGCUGAAUCGCUACAUCCACUCUCACCUGCCUGAAAUCAAUAUGCUCAAGUCAAACGCAUUUGCCUGCAUCUGAAUGUGGAGAAUGAACUUCUUAAAGCUGAACUGGCAGCUGGAAGGGGAGAGAGAAGAGCUGGACAGGGAGCCAGGACACCGGAGUUCUUUUCCACUGUGGUGGGAUCUGGAAGAAGCUGUUGAAUCUCUGUAGAGUUAGCUUUUAAAUGCUGUGAGUCUUUGGAAAGCUGUGCGAAUAACUGCUAAACACCCAGGACAGCUUAUGCAUUUUUUGAAAAAGGUUCCUGGUGCUGGUUCCAGCAGAAUAGACACAGAGAUGCAUGGCCUAACUCCCACUCCCUCUUCAGGACUGAGCCACGCAGCCCCCCAUCUGCCAGAAGUGUUAGCUGUUGACGGCUCACAGCUGAGUCCCUCUCCAGGCAUUGCUGAAAAGAGCCACCUUGCUCUAGGAUGUGCCCCCACCCUGGGGGCAGCAUACAUUCCAAGUGAUUAGUCCAUAGUGUGGUACAAAGGUUGUACCCAUCUUGCCUGAAUUCAGGAUCUCUUGGAAAACCACCCCAGCUCUGCAGCUCCUGGUGGGGUGCUGAGGCCUCUGCUGCAGCUGCAUCGCAGUUUACUUUCCCCUCUGCCUAGUCCUGCUGCCUUCACUCCCCAACAGAUCACCCGCUCUGAACAUGCCAUCUACUGUGGAAAUCUUCAAUCUUUAAUUAAUUUUUCCUGUUACAGGAAGAUUAAGUCUAAAAGGGUAUCUCCCCUAGUUGAUCCAGAACUAAAUAACAUUGUUUUCAGUACUUCCAGUAACUUGCUUACACUCUUACUUCUAAAGCAUUGAAUGUAUCAUCUUAUGUGCUUGUCACCCCCAGCUUGUGUCAUAGGAGAAAGUAUACGGAGAUCAGGUACAACUUCAGUUCAACAGCUUAUGAGCUAUUGGAUCAGUCUCCUUAUUAAUCUCUCAGAGCCUCAAUUUCCUUGUUUAAAAUGGGGGCAAUACCUACCUUAAGGAAUUUCUUGAGGAUCAAAAGAAACCCUAGUAACAAAGCCUUGAACCAUGUCUGACUUAUAGUAUAUAUUCUAACUGCAAGUUCUUUUCAUGUCUUGUCCAUGAAUUCUUCAUUCAUUCAUUCAUUCAUUCAUCCAACAACCAAGCAUUCACUGAUGCUCCAAUUGUGCAAGACACUGUUUUAGGCCUUGAGAAUACAAACUGCACAAGCAGGACAAUGUAACCAGUGUUAUGCAGGGUCUGGUCUAGUGGGAGGAGAAGACAGUGACCAUGGCCCAUGAUGAGUGACAGAAUGAAAAGUAAUCAGGAAGAUAUGAUAGGAAAUACAGGGAGAAUGGGAGAGUCUGCUUUAUGUUGCAUAAUCAGAGGGCAGCUCUGGACAGGCAAAAUUUGAGCUGAGACCUAAAUGACAAGGAGUGAAGCCAAUGGAACAUCUGAAAGAAUAGUUUUCUAGAAAGAGAGCCCAGCUAGUGUGAGCCCUAAAGUAGGUAGAAAAUGGGCUUGGAGGGUUUUAUAUGAGGAGCAGCGGGAAGUAGGCAGAGGCCUGGUCAUUGUAGGUCAUGUUGGCUAGAGUAAAGAGCUUGUGUUUGAUUCUCAGGGCAAUGAAGAGCCUUUGGAGAAUUUAAAGCAAAGUGGGGAGGGGGAACAAGAGCUGAUUUACAUUAUUCUGAACAGCACCAGGAGGGAUAGUACUGGAUAAUAAGAGUGGUAAAAGGAGACCAUUUAGGAGGUUAUAGCAAUUGUCCAGGGUGGCCUGGCCUGCCACGGUAGCCACAGAGACGGUGAGAGGUGAGGAGGUGCCAGGUACCGUCAUGGGAGACAUAAUGACAUUCGAUCAAUGCUGAACUACAUAUAUGACGGUGGUACCAUGAGAUUAUAAUGGAGCUGAAAAAUUCCCAUCACCUAGUGACCUCGUAGCUGCUGGAACAUUGCAGGGCAAUGCAUACACACAUGUAUGUGGUGAUAGUGGUGCACACAAACCUACUAUGCUGCCAGUCCUAUAAAAGUGUAGCACACAGGAUUAUGUACAGUACAUAACACUUGAUAAUGAUAACAAAUGACUAGGUUACUGGUUUAUGCAUUUACCAUACUAUACUUUUAUCGUUAUUUUAGAGAGUACUCCCUCUACUUAUUUAAUAAAUAUAGUUAACUGUAAAACAGCCUCAGGCAGGUCGUUCAGGAGGUAUUCUAAAGAAGGCAUUACUAUCACAGGAGAUGACAACUCCAUGCGUGUUAUUGCCCCUGAAGACCUUUCAGUGGGAUACAGUGUGGAGGUGGAAGACAGUGAUACUGAUGAUCCUGACCCUGUGUAGACCUAUGCUAAUGUGUGCUUGUGUCUUAGUUUUUCACAAAAAAGGUUUAAAAAUAAAAAUACAAAAGAAUAAAAAAGGUUAUAGAAUAAGGAUAUAAAGAAAGAAAAUACUUUUGUACAGCUGUAUAAGUGUUUGUGUUUUAAAUUAAGUGUUAUUACAAAGGAGCAAUAGAGUUUUCACAAAUUAAAAAGUUAAUAAAUGUUAAAAGUCACUGUAAGCAAGCUAAGGUUAAUUUAUUUUUGAAGAAAGAAAUUUUAAAAAUAAAUUUAGUAUAGCCUAAGGAUACAGUAUUUAUAAAAUCUACAGUAGUCUACAGUAAUGUUCUAGGCCCUCACCUUCACUCACCACUCACUCGCUGACUCACCCAGAGCAACUUCCUGUCCUGCAAGCUUCAUUCAUGGUAUCUUUUAAAGGUAUGCCAUUUUUUAUCUUUUAUACCAUAUUUUUACUGUACCUUUUCUGUGUUUAAAUACUCAAAUACUUACUGUUGUGUUACACUUGCCUACAGCAUUCAUUCAGUACAGUGACAUGCCAUACAGGUUGUAGCCAAGGAGCCAUAGGCUGCAUACCAUAUAGCCCAGGUGUGUAGUAGGCUACACCAUCUAAGUUUGUGUUAGUACACUCUGUGAUGUACACACAACUAAAUUGCCUAACAGUGCAUUUCUCAGAACAUGUCUCCAGCAUUAAGCAAUGCAUGACUGUAUAUAUAUCUUAGAGUAAGAGCCAGCAGGAUUUAAAGCUGGACUGAACAUAGGAGGGAGCUGAGGAAAGCAAGGGAUCAAGAAGGAUUCGUAGGAUUUGACUUGAGCCAUGGAACGAUGGAGGUGCCAUUAUACACUGAGAUAGCGAACACUGGGAAGGUGCACAUUAGAGGUCCAGCAGAGAAUCCUAACAGAGACCAGUACAGAAUAAAAACCAAGAAAGUGUGAAAAUACAAAAGCCAAGAGAAUGGUAAGCAAUGAGGGUAUGAUUCACAAUUUUUAUAGCCACUGGACUUACUUCGCAAAUAUUCCAUCAUCAGCAAACAGCUUUAAGCCCCGUCACCAAACUGGCAACCCCAAAAAUCAUUUUGGUACUCACUUCUCAAAUACGUCAGUGUUAUUGGGUUAAACUGUGUCCUCCUCUCCCCUCAGAUAAGACAUGUUGAAGUUCUAACUCCCAGUACCUUAGAAUGCACCCUUUUCGGAGAUAGGGUCGUUACAGAGGUGAUCAAAUGAAGAUGAGGCUAUCAGGGUGUGUCCUAAUCUUCUAUGAUGAAUGUCCUUAAGGAAAGAGGAAAUUUGGACAGAGACACAUACACAGGGAGAACAUGGCGUGAAAAUGAAGGCAGAGAUCAGAGUGAUGGAGCAGUAGCCAAGGAAGUCAAAGAUUGCCUGCAAACUACUAGAAGCCAGGAGAGAAGCACAGGACUGUCUCAUCCUCACAGCCCUCAGAAGGAACCAAUCCUUCUGUCACCUUGAUCUCAGACUUCUAGCCUCUAGAACUGUGAGAUGAUACAUUCCAGUUGUUUAAGCUGCCCAGUCUGUGGAACUUUUGCUAGACAGCCCUGGCCAACUCCUACAGUCAGUGUGUCAGGAGGGCAACCACAGGUCUUCCAAAAGACAAAAUCGCUUUCUGGGACAAUGUUAGCCACUGUGGGCCAUCUCCAUGGGCUUUGUUCUUGGUAUUUCAACAUGGAACUUUGUUGCCUAUGCUUGUAAACACUUGCAACAAAAUUACACGGGGUGAGUACUGCUGGGGAGUGGUGGGUGAUGCAGAAAUCCCACAUUUGCCGAGAAAUGGAGAGAAGACCUCAAGCCUCAGGGAAUAAAUGAAACAGAACACAUCUGAGGAAAGCAAAACCUGAGUACAUGCAUUCAAUACUGAAGCAGUGAGAAGAACCUUCCAUAAAGGAAAACAUUGCCUAUGCAGCAUUCAGCCCCAGGAAGUAGCCCUGGGGAAAGAAUCCCAGUGGACAAAAUCCUACUGGACCAGCCCAUGAGGUGCCCCCCGACUCCAGUCCAAUCGGGUAUGGCUACAUGCUGAGUCACAGGAACUAAAAAUGAACAGCCCCCGACCAUGCAGGGCCAGGCCCAGGACAGCUGCUGCGAGUGAUGCCUGCAAGUCCAGAAUGAAAGUGGGUUGUUCCCAUGGCAACAGAAUACAAGGCAGAGAACUCCAGAGAAGGGGGGCGGGUGCAUCUCUACACUCAAGGCCAUAGCUGCAAGAAAGCCCCAGGCUCCAGGAUGGUGGCAGCAAAGAGAU